CAACAUACAGGACAGAGUAGACAGUAAGGAAGCCAGAAGAUAGGAGUGAGCCAAUUGGGCAGUUAAGUUCAGACAGAGGUAGCUAGUUAUCAACGCCGAUUUCCUACCAGCAUCUCCUGGAUCUGUCCCCAGAAAUGACGACAAAUGACAAUAAGUGAGUACAAAAUGGUCAUUUUAAGCCCAAACUUUUGGAGCAGUUUGUUAUGUAGUAAUAGAUAACCAAAACCAAAAGACAAAAGACAUCCACGGCCUUGUACUAAAUACUUACUGGCUAACAAAUACUGCUCUUAUCCAUUCCUCAUGCACUUCCACGCUCUCUGGUAUUCUGUUUCCUACCGAAUGCUACUAGAGCAUACCAGUAUCACGUGCAUUCCUGUUCAUUUCUCCCCUGAGGCUCUACCAGAAACAGGUGAGUGAAGGUCAGGCAGUGUAUAUCAGAGAAUAGGCUCCCUCCACCACUUGGGGUCUCUCCCUGCCUCCUCCCCAGGCGCUUUUGGGGCUGCAGCUCUUCACUGCCGUGGACGGCCACCAGAAGGCUGUUGAGGCACCCAUGGGGAGGCUCCGCUGGGCAAGUUGCGGUGGACGCUGCCUGGCUGGGCGCACGGGCAGGCCCUCUAGCUCUGCUCGCCCCCUGCCGGCUGCUCGCCUCCUCGCGAGGUGGAGGGACCGCGGCCAUGACUCCCUGGCCCCCUACGCCCCUGCUGUGGCGCCUUCAUGCCGGUCGACUACCGAGAAAAGGGGCUUCAGUUGUAGGAACGCACCUGCUGCCACCCUGGGGCCUAUAGGGGACUGUAGAGAAAAACCUGCCAUCCCAACCCUUUCAUGACCCCUCUUCCACGCCUUCGGGGCGGGAGGUGGGGCCAGGGGCGAUGGUGAAGUUCAGGGUCAGCCGAUGCGGCUGGUGGAGUCCCCAGGCUCGCGCGCUGGUGGUAGUUGAGCAAUCUGCGCAGCGCCUGCCAAACCCUGUCUUGGCUCCCAGCCUCGCGCGGCCCUGCAAAUACCUGCUCCCGCGGCGCCGGGAGUCUGUAACCCUCGGCCCUUUUCUGACCGCCCCCAGCUUCAGCUGAACGCACUCUUGUUUUCCAACGCUCGGCUGCGCAGUGGCAUCACCCGGAAGCUGUUAAAAAAUAACUACUGCUGAUCGUGGGUUUUAUUUUGCUAUGCAGGAUGUUAUUGGGACAAGUGACGAAAUCUCAAUAAGGUGAUUCCAGUGUGCAGCCAAAAUAGAGGAACACUGCGCCAAAUCUGCCAGUGGAAGGAGCCUGUGAGGGAGUAGGGAGCAGACAAGAGGGAGGCCCCGAGAGACAGCGCACUAGAAACGUGUGGUUUUAUCUCAUGCACGACUUCCAUGGCCAACAUUUACUCCACUGAGAGCUUCUAACUCCACUCCGCCCUCGUGGGUGGAGCAGCGUUGCACCCAGGCUGGCUCACCUUAUGGUCCCAGCAUGGCCACAGAAGCUCUAGGACUCAAACCCGACUCAGCAAGGUGAAGAGGAAGAGGGAAUGUCUCUUCACUGCUUACUUAGGAGCAGUAAACAGUUCUCAAAAUCCACCCUGCAGGGUGACCCUCACAUCACAGUGGCUCCAGCUGUGUCACAUUUCCCAUUUCUAAUCCAAACACUGGCGAAGGGGUUACCCUGUUUGGUGUUGGUUACUCAGGAUCCUCCUCUUGGAGCUGGAAAUAAGGCAUUUGUCAAGAUCCUGGGGACGUGUCACAGUGCUAAGAUGCUGGGAGAGAGACCCACCUGGUCUUCAGUCAUCCAUCCACACUUGUGGCUGCUGACAAACUGCCGUUUCUAUCUGUGUUUCCCCUUCAGCCCCAUGGAUUCCUCUCUCGCCUCAGAACACAGAAUCUGGAAGAAUCUAUACAGAUAACUACUCUUCUACUUCCAGAGGCAGCUACAUAAUUUACAGGAAAAAAAUGUCCAUUAAAGGUCCUAAAUAUACAGCUUUUUCCUUUUUUUCUGCUCUCUCAACUUGCCAUAGUGUAUUUUA